UCAUUCCACUCCCACUUCCCACCUCAUUCAACUCACUAUGGAGUGAACCAGCCAAUCAAGAAUUGCUGCAGAGAGAAUUCAUGGAAUCUUCGUCUCCUCUUCUCUUGUUGUUUCUGGGCAUCUUUUGCUUUUCUGAGUUCAUGUCCUGUGCUCAAUUGCCCACGGAAGCUGAAGGUGCCAGAAGCUCUGUAAUUCACUUUUCUUUUCAUUUCUGCCGAAAUGUAACUUGGGUUUUGUGUAGAAUCUGGUUUUGUUAGGGAAAUUUGAGGAAACGAAGAGUAAAUUUGAUGUUGGAAUUUGGGUUUUCCAAACUCUUUGCUUUGAUUUGUUUUCUUUCACAGCUUCAAGUUUAUGGACUGUUAUUCUUUUAAUCUUGUCCACGUUCUGGAAAUUCUUGAAGCAACAGAAAAGGAGGGGUGUCAGAUUUUGUUUUCAUUUCCUCUUCAUUUCUUCUGUUUUCUCUACAACCAAACAGUGGGUUGCAUUAGUCACUUCUGUGCUUAGUUAUACUGACUUUAAUCCAUGAAUAUUGUUUACUUUCUCAUUUGGGUGUCUGAAUAUUCAUGCAUCAAAAUUGAUCUUCAGACACCCUUAGUUUGGUUUGAGUCCAUUUUCUUGGAGGUUUCUGACGUAGCUAUUAUUUCCUGUUAUAUAAUUACAAUAUUUGUAUAAAAUUAUGUGAAUAAGUGCUCGGAUUGAGUCUUGAUGAAGAAAAUCAGAAAACUCCUUAGGGUUCUUAGACAAUCAAAGACAUCCAAAGGCACUUGGAAGUUUUUGGUCAGUAAAAGAACUAUAGCGUCAUAUAUCAAAAUUCCUUAGUUAAAUAUGAGAAUUCAGUUUUGCCCUCUCACAUUUUCCUUGAAUAGUUUUGUUAAGUAACAACAACUUGAUUUAUAUCGUUGCUGUCAAUUCAUAAAUUAACACAGUAUCAGAGCUUUGACUCUUGAAAGUGGGUCAAGGUGUUAAGUAUUAGCUUACUUAAUAUACAUCAUACAUUGAAAUAUGAUAUUAUUGAUUGCCUCAAAUAUUUAAGUGUUUCAUUUCUUCUUAGCAACUUUGAAUGAGGGCAAGGGGUGGAAUGUUUGUAGAAUUGCAACAGUUAAGGGUCCUUUUCUCGUAUGGGCAAGGGAUAAGAUCCCACAGACACAACCUCAGUGAAUGUUAUUUUCUAGACCAUUUUUGUAUUAUCUUUUGUAUGAGAUUUGGUUUAUAUGCAUGAUUCAUUGCAUGAAGGUCCUUUCCUGUGGAUCAGUUAGGUUGGGUGGUUAGGGUUAAUGGUUGGGCCAGAUCGGUGGGUUAUGGUAUUUGGUUGACUGGUUCCUUGGAUGACAUUGCAUUGUAAAACCAACUGAUGUUGAAAUGUCAAAGGUAAGAAAAAGAAUUAAUUAGUGAUAUGGAUAGUUCUUGACCUUAUGAUUAUAAAAUAAUCUAUAAUGUAGAUUAUUAAAUUUUCAAUAUACAAAAUUUAGAUUAAAUAGCCCUCUAAGACAAGGCAAUGCAAUGCAUGUGAAAUGAUUCAUGUUUUGGAAUAAAAAUACAUACAUUUUGAGGCAAACCAGGGUUCAAAGCAAGUCUUUACUCACUAGCUUUCAGUCCCUCACUUCUACUGAUGAGUCUUGCAGCAAAGUCCAUGCCUUACUCACAUAGUGUGAUCAGUUCAGAGAAGAGGUCAUAUACAAGUCAAUCUACUAUGGACUAAAUUAUUGGUUUUUUUGUAGAGGACUAGUUUUUCGCUUCAUCAUAUGUUACAUAUUUUUGUCGGAAACAAUAUGGUUAAACUAAAUGGAUAAAAUUCUUGCAGUUGUUCGAAGUAACCUGCCAUUUAUAACGACCUUCAAGUUCAAUGCAAAAUGUCUAUCAAGUCUUCUGUCCUGGUGAUGGGCCCCUCAUCCAAGAGAAUCAGAUCAUCCCUUUUCCUUGAUUUUGUUGUCCAUCUAACGCAAAAAUUAGACAUUGUCGAGUUUCUGAGGCAAGUUCAUGGAUAUACAAAAAAUUUUAACUCGCAGACAUUGUUGAUUUGCUCUUCUUGUGCCUCUUUCUAAUGAUGAUUUUGUGCACAUUGCUUGUUAGUAU
rnacentral:lncRNA from 1 species